rnacentral:rRNA from 1 species
GAUGAACGCUGGCGGCGUGCCUAAUACAUGCGAGUCGAGCGAACAGACGAGGAGCUUGCUCCUCUGACGUUAGCGGCGGACGGGUGAGUAACACGUGGAUAACCUACCUAUAAGACUGGGAUAACUUCGGGAAACCGGAGCUAAUACCGGAUAAUAUAUUGAACCGCAUGGUUCAAUAGUGAAAGACGGUUUUGCUGUCACUUAUAGAUGGAUCCGCGCCGCAUUAGCUAGUUGGUAAGGUAACGGCUUACCAAGGCAACGAUGCGUAGCCGACCUGAGAGAGUGAUCGGCCACACUGGAACUGAGACACGGUCCAGACUCCUACGGGAGGCAGCAGUAGGGAAUCUUCCGCAAUGGGCGAAAGCUUGACGGAGCAACGCCGCGUGAGUGAUGAAGGUCUUCGGAUCGUAAAACUCUGUUAUUAGGGAAGAACAAAUGUGUAAGUAACUAUGCACGUCUUGACGGUACCUAAUCAGAAAGCCACGGCUAACUACGUG